rnacentral:rRNA from 1 species
AUUUGACGUUAGCGACAGAAGAAGCACCGGCUAACUCCGUGCCAGCAGCCGCGGUAAUGCGGAGGGUGCGAGCGUUAAUCGGAAUUACUGGGCGUAAAGCGCAUGCAGGUGGUUUGUUAAGUCAGAUGUGAAAGACCCGGGGCGUCAACCUCGGAAUAGCAUUUGUAAACUAGGCAGACUAGAGUACUGUAGAGGGGGGUAGGAAUUUCAGGUGUAGCGGUGAAAUGCGUAGAGAUCUGAAGGAAUACCGGUGGCGAAGGCGGCCCCCUCGGACAGAUACUGACACUCAGAUGCGAAAGCGUGGGGAGCAAACAGGAUUAGAUACCCUGGUAG